UGUUCGGUAGUACAAAUCAUUAUUUUAACAGCAAACUUAAUUAUAUGAAAUAGCAUUCCGGUGGAAUUUACAUUGUGUGCAUCAUUUUCUUGAAUUUUAUUAGAACCAUUUGACAUUUGGUAUUCUUGUAAGUAAUAAGAAUCAACACAACACGAUGCUCUGGGAGAGUAUACAAAAAGUUUUAAUGGUGAUUUUCGCCUGGCGACUUAUUUGUGGAGUUGCAGUUUGUUACCGAAACUUCCUCGUAUAUCAUAUUCUUAAGAGGAGCACCAAGAAAUCUGCAACGGACUUCGUGAUUUUGUGCAACUUGUUUUCAGAUGGACUAUAUGGGGCUCAAAUGGUGUUGUCAUUCGCUUUCGUUCUUAUUCAGUACGUGAUGGCUAAAUUUGGGCUCUUUCCUGACUUCCCUUCUUGGAAUGUUGGAGUACACUUGUUCAACGGACUUCUCCUUUGCUUUGAUGAGUUCUUAACUCUUUUUUCAUUGCUCAUGCUCUUUUUGAUGACGAUGAACCGCUACUUUGCAAUUUUGAGUCCUCAUCGGUAUAAAUCGGUAUUCCGUAGAAGCAAUAUGCGUAACUUUAUGAUCAUGAUACUUCUACUGGUAACAUUCCAAUUCACUAUCAUGUUGACGCCUUAUAUUUUCUUCAUUAUUUUCGAAGUAGAUUAUCUAGAACCUUCAGCUUCUGGUAUAGUUUUCAACGACUUUGGAUAUCUUUGUUACGAAUGUUGCGACUUCAAAUAUGACUUUCGUUUGAUAAGUUAUAACGUUUGGUCGCAGAUCAAGAUGAUACUGGUGGUGCUGCUGUCUAUUUUAAUGGUCGUCGUCUAUGUCCGGGUUUCGAAUGUGUUCAAACAGAGUUUGUGGGCUCCUUUGCUCAGGCCAUUUUCGAGAAUUCCUCUUUGUCAAAAGAAAGAGCAAAUCGAAUUAGAAAAAAGUGGCGAUUCUCAAAUUGACAACACGAAUUCAACUCGGUUCUCCGAAGGUCAAAUGAUCGAAACUGUAAGCGUGGACGACACGUCAAAAUGUGCACUCAAUUCAGACGAUUCCCAUGCAAGCCUGAAAGAAGCAGCCGAGAAGAAAAGAUUCGAGCAGCAGAGAAAAAUUACUCUGACUUUCUUUUAUGUCGGAGUUUUCUUCAUUUUUGUCGCCUUGCCGAGUUCCAUGUUUAUGGCGACUUCAACGAUGCGACUUAAUAUCUUGAUGUGUGAAGACAGCUACACAUACGACGUCGAACAAGUGCAGAUGAUGAUUUUCAUCUCCUUUCAAGCAUUGUACGGGGCAGUGUUUUUAUUGAACCCAUUUCUGUAUUCUUUUCGCCAUCCUUACAUACGAACCAAACUGAAGAACAGGAAAGGACUUCGCUAUUAUUACAGACAACUUUUUUGCAGCCUCUGUUCAAGGAACUCGGAAAUAAGCAACAGCCAGUCAAUUCGGAGUAGACAAGAAUCACUGAAUAAUUAAGAGCAAAAAGUUGGGACAGACAGAAUUAAUUUAAA